rnacentral:rRNA from 1 species
GAAGCCCAUCGCAUAACCUCCCGGGCUACCCAGCCUGCGGCGGAAUGUUGCGUAAAGGGAAAGGUCGUUUCUAAGCCCUGCACAGCGUGUACCUAAGUCUGGCUUGAUUGUGUCGCUGAUCUUUAACGGGAUCUACGGUACCACAGAGGGUGACAGUCCCGUAUGGCCACGAUGGACAUGUGCAUGGGUUCGGCCUCAUUCCCUGAGAGUCGCGUUGCUUGAGCAUGCAGCGCUAAGCAGGUCGUAAACUCGACCUAAGGCUAAAUAUAUCCACAAAACCGAUAGUGAACAAGUACCGUGAGGGAAAGUUGAAAAGCACUCUGAAGAGAGAGUCAAAAGACCGUGAAACCACUCAGAGUAUAAGCCAAUGGUUUUCGGAAAGCUGGGUCCGCGUUAUCCUCUUGAGGGAACGUAUCGUGUGUGUGUCCAGAGACUGUGCCGUUGUGGUAAGUGUCCGUCAUUGAUUUGGCAGGCUCCGUAGGGAACUCACGGGUCUCUGACAGUGGUAACUGGCGCGGUUUCUUGAGGGACCGUCCCCUAGGCUGGGCUUGAUUGAGCGGGCACAGUGCGCACACUAUAAACGAGUGGACUUUACACAGCUCACCACAACUCUUUUGGACAGUCUCCCAUGCGAGGUGUGACUGUGUGGACCGUGGCGUCCUGUGGGCCGCUCUGUGCCUGUGCUUAGGGCGGCCGGACCCGAUCACUUCCAGACGUGUGGCGAUAUGAUCUGUUCGAAGGUUGCUUUCUGACCAUCCAAAAGCCUGGAGUACGCAGCGAGGGAGCGGCGGAGCUAUGAUGUUCCAGUGGGGCUAUCUCUGUUCAUUCCGUUGGUGGAGGAUGAUUGGUGACAAAUUCCGGGGCCAUUGGUCACGUCUCGAAACACGGGCCAAGGAGCAUAGCAUGUGCGCAAGUCAAAGGGUCCCACAAAACCCGGAGGCGAAGUGAAAGCAAGUUGGUGUGUUCGUCUGAGCUGCCUCAGUGGCGAAGGCGGGCAGCCCGGUGGUAUUGUAAUUCCUGUCCGGAUGUAUGCAUUCCCGGCUUAUACCGAGCUGAUCCACCGUUAGCAAGCGUCCUCGCGCAACGGUGGCGCAAGCUCCAGGCUCUCCAUAUCGCUUCUGAAGUGAGUGGGAGCACUGUGGAGCGUGCAUGGUAUGACCCGAAAGAUAGUGAACUAUGCCUGGCGA